UUCUUAGAAUUAAUUAAAGAAAAUCUCAAAACCCCUUUCAUGGAGCCUGACACAAUCACUCAUAUUUUCUCUAACAUCGAGACGAUAUACCUCUUCCAUAAAACUUUUUUACUGCCACAACUGGAGGACAGAGUUAAAAACUGGUACCAAGAUCCUAAGCUCAGUGAUAUUUUGAGAAAAAAUGUUCCAUUUUUAAGGAUAUAUAUUGAUUAUAUCCAAAACUUCCCACAAGCUAUGAAUCUUUUACAAUCUUUGCAAAUGAAGUCAACUCAUUUUGUGGAAUUCGUUGAUAAAUUAAUGAAAUACUCUAAAUGUGACACUGUUUCACUGAAUGAUCUCUUGAAAGUUCCUACUGAAAGGCUAUUAAGUUAUGUCCAAUUAAUUAAAG
rnacentral:sRNA from 1 species